rnacentral:misc_RNA from 1 species
AGCAGCCGCGGUAAUUCCAGCUCCAAUAGCGUAUAUUAAAGUUGUUGCAGUUAAAAAGCUCGUAGUUGAACUUCGGGGUUUACUCAUUGGUCAGGCUUAAUUGUCUGUACUGGUGAGAUAAAUCUCUACCUUCUGAGGAACUUUCAUGCCAUUUAUUUGGUGUGAUUGGAAAUCAGGACUGUUACUUUGAAAAAUUAGAGUGUUUAAAGCAGACUAACGUCUGAAUACAUUAGCAUGGAAUAAUGAAAUAGGACGGAUUGAUUCUAUUUCGUUGGUUUCUAGGGUCACCGUAAUGAUUAAUAGGGAUAGUUGGGGGCAUUAGUAUUCGAUUGUCAGAGGUGAAAUUCUUGGAUUUAUUGAAGACUAACUACUGCGAAAGCAUUUGCCAAGGAUGUUUUCAUUAAUCAAGAACGAAAGUUAGGGGAUCGAAGACGAUCAGAUACCGUCGUAGUCUUAACCAUAAACUAUGCCGACUAGGAAUCAGACGAUGUUAAUUUUUAAUGUACUCGUUUUGGCUACC